UACGUAGGGUCCGAGCGUUGUCCGGAAUUAUUGGGCGUAAAGAGCUCGUAGGCGGUUUGUCGCGUCUGCUGUGAAAUCCCGAGGCUCAACCCCGGGCCUGCAGUGGGUACGGGCAGACUAGAGUGCGGUAGGGGAGACUGGAAUUCCUGGUGUAGCGGUGAAAUGCGCAGAUAUCAGGAGGAACACCGGUGGCGAAGGCGGGUCUCUGGGCCGUAACUGACGCUGAGGAGCGAAAGCAUGGGGAGCGAACAGG
rnacentral:rRNA from 1 species